UACUAGAGUAGCACUCGCAUAUCAAUAAGCGGAGGAAAAGAAACUAACAAGGAUUCCCCUAGUAACGGCGAGUGAAGCGGGAAGAGCUCAAAUUUGAAAUCUUAAAGGGUUUCCCUUUACGAAUUGUAGUUUAAAGAAGUGUUUUCUGUUGAGGUUUUGGUAAAAGUUCUUUGGAAUAGGACAUCAUAGAGGGUGAGAAUCCCGUAUUUGACCUUUACUUUCAACUUUGUGAUACACUUUCAAAGAGUCGGAUUGUUUGGGAAUGCAGUCCAAAAUGGGUGGUAAAUUUCAUCUAAAGCUAAAUAUUGGCGAGAGACCGAUAGCGAACAAGUACCGUGAGGGAAAAAUGAAAAGAACUUUGAAAAGAGAGUUAAACAGUACGUGAAAUUGUCAAAAGGGAAGCGUUUGACACCAGUGUUGUUUUUCUGAAAAUCAAUUAAAGAACUGUUUAUGCUAAGUUGUUUAGACUUUAUCAGCUAUCUGCUUAGUUUUGAGCUUUUCUUUAAUGCACUUUUCAGUUAACAAGUCAACAUCAAUUUCUUUUGCUGUAAAAAAGCUUGAGGAAGGUGGCUUGAGAUUCGUCUUAAGUGUUUAUAGCCUCUUGCCUAUGCAGUCGGAGAGAUUGAGGUCUGCAGCGUAGAUCCUUCGGGGCUAAAUGCAUUUGUGCUAAGUUAUAGCAUUUCAUAGACAACUUGUUGACUAUGAUUUGUCUUGUAGCUUACUCGCUUAUGUUAUUUUACCUACGCUUAGGAUGUUGAACUACUGAGACAUAGA
rnacentral:rRNA from 1 species